ACAGCUUAGAGCGCAUGGAUCGUUCCAUCGACUGGUACUAUCUAAAUACCCUGAAACUCCAAUCAGGACCUGAUUGCCCGUGAUAUCAGGAAAGAUGAAGAAUGCCAUGCUGUCAUUAUUUCUCAUAGUUGCGCAUACAACAAGCUUGUAACUUGCCUCACAGACGCAGCAUGCAAUACCGAUGCUAGAUAUAAAGCAGUUUUAGACCUUUCCAACUUAACAAUAAACACCUAUUGUAACAGCGGCACCAUGGCAACAGCUUCAGUUUUGUGACCCUGUUUCUCACCCUGUUCGUGAUGCUCUUCAAGUGAACGACUUUCUGGU